UCAUACUAGCUGGGGCGGUAGCGGUGCCCUGUACCUGAAAUCCGCUAUAUGCAGGGGUGAAUCCUAAUCUGAGGACUGGUUUUGUGUGGUCUUGCGCCAUUUGCGGAUGCGUUGACGAAUGAGUCUUGCGCAAUUUCCGGCUGUGAACCGUGUCAGGUGGGGGACCAAGCAGCACUAAGCAGUUUUGGAGAUGUGCCGUGAGGGUGCUUGUUCUGAGCAUACGCUCUUGGUUUGCGCAUGUAAAAUCAGCUCGAAUUUUAGGUGUAUGA
rnacentral:SRP_RNA from 1 species